rnacentral:rRNA from 1 species
UACGAAGGGGGCUAGCGUUGCUCGGAAUCACUGGGCGUAAAGCGCACGUAGGCGGAUUGCUAAGUCAGGGGUGAAAUCCUGGAGCUCAACUCCAGAACUGCCCUUGAUACUGGCGGUCUCGAGUCCGGGAGAGGUGAGUGGAACUGCGAGUGUAGAGGUGAAAUUCGUAGAUAUUCGGAAGAACACCAGUGGCGAAGGCGACUCACUGGACACGUAUUGACGCUGAGGUGCGAAAGCGUGGGGAGCAAACAGG